rnacentral:rRNA from 1 species
UACGUAGGGUGCAAGCGUUGUUCGGAAUUAUUGGGCGUAAAGAGCUCGUAGGCGGUUUGUUGCGUCGGCUGUGAAAUCCCGAGGCUCAACCUCGGGUCUGCAGUCGAUACGAGCAAACUAGAGUGUUGCAGGGGAGACUGGAAUUCCUGGUGUAGCGGUGAAAUGCGCAGAUAUCAGGAGGAACACCGGUGGCGAAGGCGGGUCUCUGGGCAACAACUGACGCUGAGGAGCGAAAGCGUGGGGAGCGAACAGG